ACUUAUAAAGCAUUUUAUCUUUCGUUUAAAAUAAGUUCGCCGUCCCUCUUUCUUGCUUCUGCAUAAAACUUGCGAAGGACGUUGACAAGAGUUUCUUUUGAGCCAACUAGAUCGUCUUCGUUGAUUUAUCUUGCUUCUAAAUGCUGCAUGGCGAAAGACAUUGACGGCGGUUUUAGUCGCUUUUUUGUUUUCCACGUUUUUUCUUCAACUAGAUAAAGCAAGACAACUCAUUUUCCGAAAGUUCAGCGAGCCGCCAUUGUUUACAAAAAUUGAAGGCAAUGCGCAUGCUCAGACUAUU